GAAGUGUGCUCAUCCGAUUGGCGGUAUUCAAGGCAGCUAACAAUAAUUACAGAAUUAAAGAAAAUAAUGAAAUAAAGAAUAACCUCAAGUCAGGAAAAAUGAACAGGUCAAUCGAUCAUAUAUUGUCGAGAAGGUUACAUGGUUGAGACAGGCGAAUGAAAUGGUAUCGACAGCGGUAGUUAAUAAAAUAAGCAAUCGUUGUU